ACCAAGUGUGGUGGCAUGCACCUGUAGUCCCAGCUGCUUAGGAGGCUGAGGCCAGAGGGUCACUUGAGCCCAGGAGUUCUGAAUUCUAGUGUGCUAUGCUGAUCAGGUGUCUGCACAAAACUUUGGCAUCAAUAUGGUGACCUCCAGCAGCAGGGAACCACCAGGUUGCUUAAGGAGUGGUGAACCGGCCCAGGUCAGAAAUGGAGUAGGUCAAAACUCCCGUGCUGAUCAGUAGUGGGAUUGCACCAUUACAGUGCAGUGUGAAUAGCCACUGCACUCCAGCCAGGACAACAUAGCAAGACUCCAUCUCUA
ensembl:misc_RNA Metazoa_SRP Metazoan signal recognition particle RNA